GACGACGCUGGCGGCGUGCUUAACACAUGCAAGUCGACGACGCUACUAUGUAGCAAUAUGUAGUAGUGGAGUGGCGUAAGGGUGAGUAAAAUAUACGUAACCUGCCCAUAGGAGACGGAUAACACUACGAAAGUGGUGCUAAAACGGCAUGAUGCCUAUUGACCGCAUGGUUGAUGGGUUAAGGAGUCGGUAACAGACUGCCUAUGGAGGGGCGUGUAUCCGAUUAGCUAGUUGGUAGGGUAACGGCCUACCAAGGCGACGAUCGGUAGCUGGUCUGAGAGGAUGAUCAGCCACACUGGCACUGAGACACGGUCCAGACUCCUACGGGAGGCAGCAGUGAGGAAUAUUGGUCAAUGGACGAGAGUCUGAACCAGCCAAGUCGCGUGAAGGAAGACGGCCCUACGGGUUGUAAACUUCUUUUGUAAGGGAAUAAAUAGUCUUACGCGCUAAGACGUUGCAGGUACCUUACGAAUAAGGAUCGGCUAACUCCGUG
rnacentral:rRNA from 1 species